rnacentral:rRNA from 1 species
AUUGAACGCUGGCGGAAUGCUUUACACAUGCAAGUCGAACGGCAGCACGGACUUCGGUCUGGUGGCGAGUGGCGAACGGGUGAGUAAUACAUCGAAACGUGCCCAAUCGUGGGGGAUAACGUAGCGAAAGCUACGCUAAUACCGCAUACGAUCUAAGGAUGAAAGCGGGGGAUCGCAAGACCUCGCGCGAUUGGAGCGGCCGAUGGCAGAUUAGGUAGUUGGUAGGGUAAAGGCCUACCAAGCCGACGAUCUGUAGCUGGUCUGAGAGGAUGAUCAGCCACACUGGGACUGAGACACGGCCCAGACUCCUACGGGAGGCAGCAGUGGGGACUUUUGGACAAUGGACGCAAGUCUGAUCCAGCCAUUCCGCGUGCAGGAUGAAGGCCCUCGGGUUGUAAACUGCUUUUGUACAGAACGAAAAGGCUCUGGUUAAUACCUAGGGCUCAUGACGGUACUGUAAGAAUAAGCACCGGCUAACUACGUGCCAGCAGCCGCAGUAA